CACAGACAUGAAGAGGACAGGGCUGAGCUGGGAACAAUCCUGAUCACAUCUCCCAGUUCAAUGACCCGAGACCUGCAGAAGGGAGAACCACAGAAUCCCCAUAAUGUCAAAGUAGACCAUUCAGCCCAUUGUGUCGACACCAACCCUCCAAACAGCGUCCCACCCAGACCCACCCUAUCUCUGUAUUUCCAAUCGCUAAUCCAAUGUCGCCUGCUCCUCCCAGGACACUUAGCAUGGCCAAUCCACCCAAACCUGCACAUCUUUGGAAUCUGAGUGGAAACUGGAGCACCCAGAGGAAACCCUCACAGACACGGCAAGAAUGUGCAAACUCCAGGCAGUCGCCUGAGAGUGGAAUCGAAACCAGGUCCCCGGCGCGGUGAGCCAUCAGUGCUAACCACUGAGAUACUGUGCAACCACGUGCAUAAAUUCUUCGAUUUUCCUCAUUCCCACUAACUCUGCGGCAAAAUGGACUUCAACGUUCUCAGAAAAAAAUGCAGUAGUUCUCUGAACAAUCCCAUUCGCUGUACCUGUCAUUUCCACAAGAGAUUGGGAAACUUUGGAAAUCUUUUCACAUUUCAAUGCUCCAAGUGGCAUGAAAAAGGCAGUGUAAUAUGUCACACAUAGAAGAUUUGACAACCCAGAUGAUGUCCUUUCUGCUCACUGCUUUAACUGAGCAGGCCGAAGGAAAAGAUGGAUUGCUUAAUGUUACAUUACAGGAAAGGAAUAGAAUAUCUCACACACUCCUGGUGCCUUUGAUUCUUGCCACCUUUUUUUAAUACCAAAAUAAAUAACAGUUCUGUGAUGCCAUGAUUGAAAUUUGAUGCAAGUCGUACCAGUCCAAGGAAAGAACUUUCAUCCCAAGAAGAUACGGUGUGCUGUCAAUUUGGGGCUGUAAUUUGGUUUAUAUAAUGAAAGCUAUUGCAAAAUUGUAUCUGCCAAACCUGAUGUAACAUUUCAGUUCUUUUUACUGAUGUCUUUGGACAGUUACUGUGAGUAUUUAC